rnacentral:rRNA from 1 species
GAUGAACGCUGGCGGCGUGCCUAAUACAUGCAAGUCGAGCGAACAGACGAGGAGCUUGCUCCUCUGACGUUAGCGGCGGACGGGUGAGUAACACGUGGAUAACCUACCUAUAAGACUGGGAUAACUUCGGGAAACCGGAGCUAAUACCGGAUAAUAUAUUGAACCGCAUGGUUCAAUAGUGAAAGACGGUUUUGCUGUCACUUAUAGAUGGAUCCGCGCCGCAUUAGCUAGUUGGUAAGGGAACGGCUUACCAAGGCAACGAUGCGUAGCCGACCUGAGAGGGUGAUCGGCCACACUGGAACUGAGACACGGUCCAGACUCCUACGGGAGGCAGCAGUAGGGAAUCUUCCGCAAUGGGCGAAAGCCUGACGGAGCAACGCCGCGUGAGUGAUGAAGGUCUUCGGAUCGUAAAACUCUGUUAUUAGGGAAGAACAAAUGUGUAAGUAACUAUGCACGUCUUGACAGUACCUAAUCAGAAAGCCACGGCUAACUACGUG